ensembl:rRNA 5S_rRNA 5S ribosomal RNA
ACCUACAGCAAAACUUCGCCCCGUUAAGCCUGUUCUCGUCCGUUCAAAGCCAUGACAGGCCUAGUCAGUACUUGGAUGGGAGACCACCUUGGAAUUCUAGAUGCAGUAGGGU